rnacentral:rRNA from 1 species
CCUACGGGAGGCAGCAGUGAGGAAUAUUGGUCAAUGGACGAGAGUCUGAACCAGCCAAGUAGCGUGAAGGAUGACUGCCCUAUGGGUUGUAAACUUCUUUUAUAUGGGAAUAAAUUGUUCCAUGUGUGGGCUUUUGUAUGUACCAUAUGAAUAAGGAACGGCUAACGCCGUGCCAUCAGCCGCGGUAAUACGGAGGAUCCGAGCGUUAACCGGAUUUAUUGGGGUUAAAGGGAAGGUAGGUGGAUUGUUAAGUCAGUUGUGAAAGUUUGGGGCUCAACCGUAAAAUUGCAGUUGAAACUGGCAGUCUGGAGUACAGUAGAGGUGGGCGGAAUUCGUGGUGUAGCGGUGAAAUGCUUAGAGAGCACGAAGAACUCCGAUUGCGAAGGCAGUUCACUGGACUGCAACUGACACUGAGGCGCGAAAGUGUGGGGAUCAAACAGGAUUAGAUACCCCAGUAGUC